rnacentral:tRNA from 1 species
GGAGAGGUGGCCGAGUGGCUGAAGGCACUCGCCUGCUAAGCGAGUAUGGGGCUGAAUGCUCUAUCGCGGGUUCGAAUCCCGCCCUCUCCG